rnacentral:rRNA from 1 species
UGGUCAGUUAUUAAGGGUGCAGGGCGGAUGCCUUGGCACUAGGAGCCGAUGAAGGACGUGAUAAGCUGCGAUAAGCUUCGGGGAGUUGCACGUAAACUUUGAUCCGAAGAUUUCCGAAUGAGGAAACUCACUUAGAGUAAUGUCUAAGUAUCAUUAAGUGAAUACAUAGCUUAAUGAGGGGAACUCAGGGAACUGAAACAUCUAAGUACCUGAAGGAAGAGAAAGAAAUUCGAUUCCGUAAGUAGCGGCGAGCGAACGCGGAUUAGCCCAAACCAAUAAAGUUUUCUUUAUUGGGGUUGCGGACAUAUCAUAACGAAGAGGUAUCGUAAUUGAAGAGGUUUGGAAAGACCCACCACAGAAGGUAAUAGUCCUGUAUGUUAAACGAGAAGACUUCAGAUAUGAUCCAGAGUACCACGGGACACGUGAAACCCUGUGGGAAGCAGGAGGGACCACCCUCCAAGGCUAAAUACUACCUAGUGACCGAUAGCGUAUAGUACCGUGAGGGAAAGGUGAAAAGAACCCCGGGAGGGGAGUGAAAUAGAACCUGAAACCCUGCACUUACAAGCUGUGGAAGCACAUUUCUUGUGUGACCGCGUACUUUUGUGAACGGGCCAACGAGUUACGUUAAGUAGCAAGGUUAAGCACUUAAGGUGUGGAGCCGUAGCGAAAGCGAGUUUUAACUGAGCGUUCAGUUACUUGACGUAGACCCGAAACCGGGCGACCUACCCAUGAGCAGGAUGAAGCGAAAAGUAAAAUUUCGUGGAGGUCCGAACCCACGAGCGUUGAAAGCUCGGGGAUGACUUGUGGGUAGCGGUGAAAUUCAAUCGAGCCCGGAGAUAGCUGGUUCUCCCGAAAUAGCUUUAGGGCUAGCCUCAAGGUGAGAGAUACGGAGGUAGAGCACUGAAUGUCCUAGGUAUUGCACCUACCGAAGACUAUCAAACUCCGAAUGCCGUCAUCUUAUACUUGGGAGUCAGACUGUGGGUGAUAAGAUUCAUAGUCGAAAGGGCAACAGCCCAGAUCGUCAGCUAAAGGUCCCUAAAUGUAAGUUAAGUGGUAAAAGGAUGUGGGAUUGCACAGACAACCAGGAUGUUGGCUUAAGCAGCCACUCAUUCAAAGAGUGCGUAAUAGCUCACUGGUCGAGUGAUCCUGCGCCGAAGAUUUCCGGGCUAAAACUUACUACCGAAGCUACGGCAUCAGUAAUGAUGGGUAGGGAGCUUCCCAUACAGGUUGAAGCAUGACCGUAAGGACAUGUGGACAGUAUGGGAGUGAGAAUGUUGGCAUGAGUAGCGAGAUGUGGGUGAGAAUCCCACAGGCCGUAAACCCAAGGUUUCCAGGGAAGGUUCGUCCGCCCUGGGUUAGUCGGGACCUAAGCUGAGGCCGAAAGGCGUAGGUGAUGGACAACAGGUUGAUAUUCCUGUACUACCGAUAACCGUUUGAGAGAAGGGAUGACACAGUAGGAUAAGCUAAGCACUGUUGGUUAUGUGUGCCCAAGCAUUGAGGCAGUCAAAGUAGGCAAAUCCGCUUUGAUAAUGCUGGGAUGUGAUGGGGAGCGAAAUUUAGUAGCGAAGUAGCUGAUUUCACACUGUCAAGAAAAGUCUCUAUCGAGGUUAAAGGUACCCGUACCGCAAACCGACACAGGUGGGUGAGGAGAGUAUCCUAAGGCCAGCGAGAGAACUGUUGUUAAGGAACUCGGCAAAAUGACCCCGUAACUUAGGGAUAAGGGUGCCACCAUCAGUGGCCGCAGAGAAUAGGCCCAAGCGACUGUUUACCAAAACAUAGGUUUCUGCUAAGUCGCAAGACGAUGUAUAAGACUGACGCCUGCCCGGUGCUGGAAGGUUAAGGGAUCUGUUAGAGCAAUCGAAGCAGUGAACUUAAGCCCCAGUAAACGGGCAGCCGUAACUAUAACGGUCCUAAGGUAGCGAAAUUCCUUGUCGGGUAAGUUCCGACCCGCACGAAAGGCGUAACGAUUUGGGCACUGUCUCAACAACAGACUCGGUGAAAUUGUAAUUCCGGUGAAGAUGCCGGAUACCUGCGACAGGACGGAAAAGACCCCAUGGAGCUUUACUGUAGCUUGACAUUGGGUUUUGGUACUACAUGUACAGGAUAGGUGGGAGGCUUUGAAACCAGGACGCCAGUUUGGCGGAGCCAUCCUUGGGAUACCACCCUUGUAGUACUGGGACUCUAACCAUAGGCCAUGAAUCUGGUCUUGGGACACUGUCAGGUGGGCAGUUUGACUGGGGCGGUCGCCUCCCAAAGGUAACGGAGGCGCUCAAAGGUUCUCUCAGUCACGGUCGGAAAUCGUACGUAGAGUGUAAAGGCAAAGAGAGCUUGAUUGCAAGACAUACAGGUCGAGCAAGGAUGAAAAAUCGGACUUAGUGAUCCGGUGGUUCUGCGUGGAAGGGCCAUCGCUCAACGGAUAAAGCUACCCUGGGGAUAACAGGCUUAUCUCCCCAAGAGUCCACAUCGACGGGGAGGUUUGGCACCCUCGAUGUCGGCUCAUCACAUCCUGGGGCUGUAGUAGGUCCCAAGGGUUGGGCUGUUCGCCCAUUAAAGUGGUACGCGAGCUGGGUUCAGAACGUCGUGAGACAGUUCGGUCCCUAUCCGUCGCAGGCGUAGGAAAUUUGAGAAGACCUGUCCUUAGUACGAGAGGACCGGGAUGGACGUACCUCUGGUGUACCAGUUGUUCUGCCAAGGGCAUGGCUGGGUAGCUAUGUACGGAAUGGAUAAGCGCUGAAAGCAUCUAAGCGCGAAGCCAACUUCAAGAUAAGAUUUCCCACCGUAAGGGUAAGACCCCAGAAAGACUAUCUGGUUGAUAGGUCGAAGGUGUAAGUGCAGCAAUGUAUUUAGCUUAUCGAUACUAAUAGGUCGAGGACUUGACCAAUAUUAUUUGAUGUUCACUU